rnacentral:rRNA from 1 species
UACGUAGGGGGCGAGCGUUGUCCGGAAUUAUUGGGCGUAAAGAGCGUGUAGGCGGUUCGGUAAGUCUGCCGUGAAAACCUGGGGCUCAACCCCGGGCGUGCGGUGGAUACUGCCGGGCUAGGGGUGGUAGAGGCGAGUGGAAUUCCGGUGAUCGAGCGGUGGAAAUGACGUAGAUAUCGAGAGGAACACCUGCGGCGAAGGCGGGUUGCUGGGCUGAUACUGACGCUGAGGCGCGAAAGCUAGGGGAGCGAACGGG